rnacentral:rRNA from 1 species
AGAUUAAGCCAUGCAUGUCUAAGUACAUACCUUAGCACGGUGAAACCGCGAAUGGCUCAUUAAAUCAGUUAUGGUUCCUUAGAUCGUUCAUACUACAUGGAUAACUGUGGUAAUUCUAGAGCUAAUACAUGCGAAAAGCUCCGACCGUAUGGGAAGAGCGCUUUUAUUAUACCAAAACCAAUGGGGUCGCAAGAUCCCUUUGUAUGGUGACUCUGGAUAACUUUGUGCUGAUCGCAUGGCCUAGAGCCGGCGACGUAUCUUUCAAGUGUCUGCCCUAUCAACUUUCGAUGGUAAGCGAUUUGCCUACCAUGGUUGUAACGGGUAACGGGGAAUCAGGGUUCGAUUCCGGAGAGGGAGCAUGAGAAACGGCUACCACAUCUACGGAAGGCAGCAGGCGCGCAAAUUACCCACUCCUAGAACGGGGAGGUAGUGACGAAAAAUAACAAUACCGGACUCAAUGAGGCUCGGUAAUUGAAAUGAGUACAGUUUAAAACCCUUAACGAGGAUCUAUU